AUACACUCUGGUACCCUCCUGCUCUUUUACACUCACCCUGCCCCAGUUACCCCUUUAUUCACCCUGCCACCCCCUGAAGGCAAUAAUUAUACACACGGUUAUAAAACAUAGCUUCGCCAUAAACUCAGUGCCAAAGGCCACAGGCAGUACACAAACAUACACAUGCUCAGAGAAACAUACAUACAUACACAAGGAUCCUCACUGCCAGACACACACAGGUAGACAAUGC